CAAUUGUCUGUGUCUUCAGAUAAAAAAAUCUCUCAUCAUGAAAUUCCUUUCUAUCUUCGUAGUAAUUGCUAUGGUCCUGGCGGCCGUUAGUGGUCAACGCUGCAGGGGACGCAGAGUCGCGUGUACCAACGACAGACAGUGCUGUUCGGGUCUCUGCCGCAGGGGACGUGGAUGCGCCUAAGGAGAUACCGGAUAGAUGACUUCGAUAUCGCAAAACUACUUGGAAACAGCAUUUCUCAAGGCUCUUGUUUAGUGCCAACCGUAUUAUUAUGAUCUACAAGGGUUCUUUAUUGAUUUGUAAUUGAUGGAUACCCGGAAAUACAAAUAUUCAGGCAUA